rnacentral:rRNA from 1 species
CCUACGGGUGGCAGCAGUGAGGAAUAUUGGUCAAUGGGCGCGAGCCUGAACCAGCCAAGUCGCGUGAGGGAGGACGGCCCUACGGGUUGUAAACCUCUUUUGCCGGGGAGCAACGGGCGUCACGUGUGGCGCCACUGAGAGUACCCGGAGAAAAAGCAUCGGCUAACUCCGUGCCAGCAGCCGCGGUAAUACGGAGGGUGCGAGCGUUAAUCGGAAUUACUGGGCGUAAAGCGCUCGUAGGCGGUAUGUCAAGUCAAGGGUGAAAUCCCCGCGCUCAACGUGGGAACUGCCUUUGAAACUGGCAAACUGGAGUGUGUGAGAGGAUAGUGGAAUUCCAGGUGUAGGAGUGAAAUCCGUAGAUAUCUGGAGGAACAUCAGUGGCGAAGGCGACUAUCUGGCACAUAACUGACGCUGAGGAGCGAAAGCGUGGGUAGCAAACAGGAUUAGAUACCCUGGUAGUC